UGAGGAAUAUUGGUCAAUGGGUGCAAGCCUGAACCAGCCAUCCCGCGUGAAGGAUUAAGGUCCUAUGGAUUGUAAACUUCUUUUGUAUAGGGAUAAACCUACCCUCGUGAGGGUAGCUGAAGGUACUAUACGAAUAAGCACCGGCUAACUCCGUGCCAGCAGCCGCGGUAAUACGGAGGGUGCAAGCGUUAUCCGGAUUUAUUGGGUUUAAAGGGUCCGUAGGCGGACUUAUAAGUCAGUGGUGAAAUCCUGUCGCUUAACGAUAGAACUGCCAUUGAUACUGUAAGUCUUGAGUAUAUUUGAGGUAGCUGGAAUAAGUAGUGUAGCGGUGAAAUGCAUAGAUAUUACUUAGAACACCAAUUGCGAAGGCAGGUUACCAAGAUAUAACUGACGCUGAGGGACGAAAGCGUGGGGAGCGAACAGG
rnacentral:rRNA from 2 species